rnacentral:rRNA from 1 species
GUAGGGAAUCUUGGACAAUGGGGGAAACCCUGAUCCAGCCAUGCCGCGUGAGUGAUGAAGGCCUUCGGGUUGUAAAACUCUUUCGCACGCGACGAUAAUGACGGUAGCGUGAGAAGAAGCUCCGGCUAACUUCGUGCCAGCAGCCGCGGUAAUACGAAGGGGGCUAGCGUUGUUCGGAUUUACUGGGCGUAAAGCGCGCGCAGGCGGCUUUGCAAGUCAGGGGUGAAAUCCCAGAGCUCAACUCUGGAAUUGCCUUUGAGACUGCUUGGCUUCGAGUACGGGAGAGGUGAGUGGAAUUCCCAGUGUAGAGGUGAAAUUCGUAGAUAUUGGGAAGAACACCGGUGGCGAAGGCGGCUCACUGGCCCGUUACUGACGCUCAGGCGCGACAGCGUGGGGAUCAAACAGGAUUAGAUACCCGGGUAGUCC